GGGAAUCAAUGUUCCUCCAAUGCAUGUAAAUAUCCCUUAAACUAUAUAGUUAAUAUUAACGUCCAAGAUUUAUAUCCACACCACAACUAGUUAAAGAUAAUCCUGGCCUCCUAAACUUCUCCUGCUAUGUAAAGAGAGCUCCAUAAAUAAAGCAAAUCCCUGAUCCACAAAGAAUAAAGAUAUAUGACGCCACAGCCACUGAUCCAGGCUGUAGGUGCCAAAAUACUUCCUCUGGUGAAGAAAAUAACUGGACUUAAAGACUUGAAUACCGCAGUUGUUUUUUAUGGAUGUCUGGAAUGCCAAACACGGACUCAAGAAAUAAUGGCAUGGAUGGCCUGACUCACUGACUCAUCAAUACCCAGCCUAAACCCUUGGACCUAGAAAGCUGAAUUUUUUUCACAGGUGUUGUUUUUAAGACGUAGACGAGAAGAAAGGAUUUUUCGAAAUUCAACCCUUAAGUGGUGAAAAAGGGGUUGAAAGUUUGAAUGGAAGUCCGUCAUUUUUGAAGCUAGAAGCAAGAAACUUUGUUUUUAAGCUAACAAUUAGAGAUAAAGAAACACGUGUUUUAACAUUUUCAAAAAUUCCACCCCAGAAUGGGUGAAAUGGGGGUUCAAAGUUUGUCUGAAUUAAGGAUUAGGUUGAUUUUUUUAUUCGAAAAUUUGCAACAUUACUCUUAAAUAAAAACAACAUCUGUCUGUAUCUGUAUUUACUUAAUGAUCCUCCGAAAAAUCAAUUAAAACACGAAAAAAUUAGCAAACGCUGCACCCGGACAGUAUAUAAGCAGUGCGAGAAGGCGGGACACCUCAUUAUAAAUGCUAGUAGGUACUUAGCUUCAAAGAACCCGGCUCACGUCGCUGAUCGACCAGACAGGAAGAAUGCUUAAAAGAGGAUUUAUUGACCAGAAUGCAACGCGUUUCGCUGCGCAUGCGCAGCUUCCUCAGGCGUCUCAGCUUCCUCAUUAUAAAUGCGUCAUGCACGUGCUGCACCCAGACAGUAUAUAAGCAGCACGAGUAGGCAGGUUCCCCCUUUUUGUUUCUUUAUUCUGACUAUAAUUUACCUUUAAUUUGGUAUCUAUCACAAUGAAAACUGCAGGAAUUGAUCUUAGGAGGGACUGCUUCUCGCAAGGCCAAUUUUAUGUUGCUUGCUCAAGAGUUAGUUCACCUAACAGCCUGGUCAUAUUAGCACCUGAGGGAAAACCUUGAAUGUAGUAUACAAUGAGGUACUAUAAAUAUUUUGGCUGCUUAAGUACACUGAAAUGUUGGAUGACUUCAAGAAUCAGAGAACUAACAAAAAACUAACAUUGUGUUAAAUAAUUCUUGCAGCUAGAAAGGAGAAUUGUACAAUGCAGGUUCCUCUAAAGGCGUUUCCUUAUUUUUGCCCUCUUUCAGCAAUCCAAAGGCCUUGCGCACAGACUCGGUAGAAGUCCUCAAAGGAUGUCAAUCUUCAAUUCCAUGGAACAGCAGAUGUAAUGUUUGUUAGAAUUCGGGUUGUUUGGAUGCAUCAAAUAUGCACAGAAUACUGUAUAUGAAAAGACACCCUUAGGGGUACUCCAGGCCUUAGACAUCUUAUCCCCUAUCUAAAGGAUAGGGUAUAAGAUGUCUCACCGUGGGGGUCCCGCCGCUGGGACCCCCACAAUCUUGCAUUCGCCACCACCUGUUUGAGCUGCACGCUCGUGACAUCACGACCCCGCCCCCGUGUGACAUCACCCCCCGCGCCCGCUAUUCAAGUCUAUGGGAGGGGGCGUGACAGCCGUGAACAUUAUUCAGGAUAAAGGUAGGUUCACAAAUACAGCACAAAAUACAAGUCUUCCCCGCCACAGCCACAAGACAGGUAAGUACAUUUCCAGAGUGGAACAUGUGCAAUAUUAAUAAAUGCUCAAAGCUCCCACCAUAUUUUGGUAAUAUUCCUUAUAUCCCAUUUAGUACAUUGUAGGUCUUUGUAGGUGUAACAUAAAUUUGGUCCUUGCUCCACAGAUUUGUCCACCUAUGUUUUUGAAGUCAUAUAUUCAUAUUGUGCUUUUCUGUCUGUCACUUCUCUUUCCAAGCCAGGUUCGGCCUCGUCUUUGCAAGGGGAAACCCCAGAUGACAGGACUGCUGAAUCAGAAAAAUUACUAGGGCUGGUGAUAGGUAUUUGGUCCCUUGAAUGAAAGGAACGGCAGUGAGAAUGUUUGACCACCGUUCCGUUCACUUCCUAUGGGAAUGCUUGAAGAUUGCAGACUCUCAAAGAGUUUCGGUUUUCCAAGUGCAGAAAAUGGUGGAGCUCAGUGUAGCGUGUUGCAAGAAAGCUCGAGAAGGGGCAAGAGAAAACAUAAUGAAACAGCAGACAGACAGACAGUGAUGAUGAAAGAUCUGGCUUGGAGCUGAAUACACGAGUGUCUUCCAUGCCGGGCAUUCCAGCACCGAAGAAGGAUGGCCAACACUGCAGACUGCCCGAGAGACGGCUGCCAGGAACAAGAGACCGUGUACCACCUUUUCUGGACUUGUUUUUAUGCGAAAAUUGUAUGGACUAAAAUACUCCCUCUGGUGAAGAAAAUAACAGGACUAAAGGAUUUGAACACCGCAGUUAUUUUUUAUGGAUGUCUGAAAUGCCCAGCGGACUCAAGAAAUAAUGGCAUGGAAGACCAUAAACUGUGUUAAGGCAGCUCUGUGGAACACCAGAAAAAUGUAACUUUUUAAAAACAAGAUUUUAUCUGUGAAUUACAUUUUAUCUAUUUGUUUUAGUAAUAUGUACCUGUACCUUUUAUUAGACAGGAAAUACUAUCCUUUAUUAGCUAGAAAAUUGUAUUCUAAUGAAUGGAACGCCAUUUUGUAA